rnacentral:rRNA from 1 species
AGAAUCAACGCUGGCGGCGUGCCUAACACAUGCAAGUCGAACGAGAAAGUGGGAGCAAUCCCACGAGUAAAGUGGCGCACGGGUGAGUAACACGUGACUAACCUACCCUUGAGUGGGGGAUAACCUAGGGAAAACCUGGGCUAAUACCGCAUAAAUACCUACGGGUCAAAGGAGCAAUUCGCUUUAGGAGGGGGUCGCGGCAGAUUAGUUAGUUGGCGGGGUAAUGGCCCACCAAGACAGUGAUCUGUA